UACGAAGGACCCGAGCGUUAUCCGGAUUUAUUGGGUUUAAAGGGUGCGUAGGCGGACAUGCAAGUCAGUGGUGAAAUCUCCCUGCUUAACAGGGAAACUGCCAUUGAAACUAUGUGUCUUGAGUACAUUUGAGGCGGGCGGAAUGUGUCAUGUAGAGGUGAAAUUCUUAGAUAUGACACAGAACACCAAUUGCGAAGGCAGCUCGCUAAACUGUAACUGACGCUGAGGCACGAAAGCGUGGGGAUCAAACAGG
rnacentral:rRNA from 1 species